CGCAAAUAUUCUGAAGGACUGAGACGCUUAAGCCUGAUGAGAUCCAUAGCUUAAACGGAGGGCGAGGAGCGAAACACAGUGUCUUGCAAUAUAGGCACAGGGGAACAAAGAAACUUCUGUUCACCUCAGCUUUACGUAAGUGGGAAUAGAGCAGGAGCCAGGCUAACCAUCACCUGUCCUGCUGCCAAGUUCCUGCAGAGGUUCCUCCACAUUAAUCACGCUGUUUAAUCACGGCCAUCUGUUCCAACAGCCAGCUAUGUGGCAGUCCCUCGGGGCUGGGACACACCCACACCCACCCCCCGCGACGGUACCCGAGGCAGGUGGAGCUCGGUGAGGGGUGAAGGCGGCCCCUAGGGCGGGGAAGGUCGAGCAGCACCUGGAGGCGGCGGGGAGGAGGCCGGGGGCCGAGCUGUGGAGGCCAUUUGCCGGCGGGCGGGUGCGAGUGUCCCAGCCUUCACUGAAGCAGACCAGAUUCUAAAUCUUCAUACUUUGUACCAUUUCAAGCCAGUCUGUUGUCAGCUGCAACUGGUUCUUUUCAUCUUUUGUGGUAAAUGUCAGGUUUCAGAGCUGGAACUUGCUGUGUGUUUUGAAGGCAGCCAAGAAGGAACUUUAAUGGCUCUCCUGGAAGUUGUUCAAAAGCCACUCCCAUUGACUGCAUCGGACAUUGGAUAAGGCCCCAAAAGCAAUUUCCAGGGAGGUAGAAGGUAAGGGAUAAUAAUUUGAAUACUAUAGGCCUGUAUUAAGAAUGCUUCUGGAAGGUGACAUUAAAAUUUCCAAGUGUAUCUUUUAGCCAUACAAAAAAUAUAUC
rnacentral:lncRNA from 1 species